rfam:Eucalyptus grandis cultivar BRASTZ1 unplaced genomic scaffold scaffold_2, whole genome shotgun sequence.
GGGAUUGUAGUUCAAUCAGUCAGAGCAUCGCCCUGUCAAGGCGAAAGCUGUGGGUUCGAGCCCGGUCAAUCUCG